GCGUGUAGCAUCUUGCUACCCCUCGGAAGAAUGCUUGCCACGAGAACCUUCCCGCUGUGACCAUGAACAAACUUUGGAACAUUGGCAAAAAAAAAAAGUUAUGCAAAACAUACAAAUUCUAUUUUAAUAACACGUAUCACGUCAAAUGAUACUUGGUAGUAGUGGAUAUUCACAGGAAGUCAACGGCAUAUUUCAAUCAUGUCUGCUGGAACCCUGUUUAAUUCUUUCCCUAGCUGAAUAGCUAGUGUGACACAGCGGCGAGACUAAAGGGGACCCAUGGCCCACACUGUCCUCGGGUCUGUUCUUACCUGUACAGAUCUGCCCAUUGGUGCAUGCGAGCUCCCUGCAUCCCAGGAGGCAGGAACGUCCUCAGGAAGGAUGUCACAUGCCCUCAAGCCAUACGGCCUUCGCCAGAUUGAAGGGUGCCCGGCCAUCUGCUUUACUCCAUCCACUGGUUUCAAUGCGAAUCUCAUCCAGAAACACCUCACAGACACACCCAGAGAGAAUGCUUAGCCAGCUAUCCGGGCAUUCUGCGGCCCAGCCGAAUAGACACAUAACAUUAACUGCUACGUCUCAUUUUACAGAUGAGGAAACUGAGGCUCAAGAAAGGUGAGUAACUUGCCCAAGGUGGCACAGCUUCAGAAACCACAGCACAGCUCCAGGGUCUGUGUUCCUCACACACGGAUCAUCUAACAACAUACAGUGUGCAUUUAUGCCAUUCAUAAUUACACCAAGUACAACGAAAAAAAAUCAUGACCCAAAGACGUUUGACUUAGGGUUGAAUUGUUGACACUGUCCUAAAUUAAGUCUCCAUUAUGCCAAGUGACCAAGUAAAUUUAUUUAAAAAUUGUUCAACUCAGUAAAAAUAAUUAAAUCCUCUAGAAAAAUAGUGUGUUGCCCGAAUAAAAGUCUCACAGUUCUAACCA
rnacentral:lncRNA from 13 species